AGUGAACGCUGGCGGUAGGCCUAACACAUGCAAGUCGAACGGCGGCACAGUAAGAGCUUGCUCUUACGGGUGGCGAGUGGCGGACGGGUGAGGAAUACAUCGGAAUCUACUUUUUCGUGGGGGAUAACGUAGGGAAACUUACGCUAAUACCGCAUACGACCUACGGGUGGAAGCAGGGGAUCUUCGGACCUUGCGCGAUUGAAUGAGCCGAUGUCGGAUUAGCUAGUUGGCGGGGUAAAGGCCCACCAAGGCGACGAUCCGUAGCUGGUCUGAGAGGAUGAUCAGCCACACUGGAACUGAGACACGGUCCAGACUCCUACGGGAGGCAGCAGUGGGGAAUAUUGGACAAUGGGCGCAAGCCUGAUCCAGCCAUACCGCGUGGGUGAAGAAGGCCUUCGGGUUGUAAAGCCCUUUUGUUGGGAAAGAAAAGCAGCAGGUUAAUACCCCGCUGUUCUGACGGUACCCAAAGAAUAAGCACCGGCUAACUUCGUG
rnacentral:rRNA from 1 species